GUACUGAUGAAGAGUCCCAAAAUAGGACGAAACAGCUGUCCAGUAA
rnacentral:hammerhead_ribozyme from 1 species